rnacentral:tRNA from 1 species
UGUGAUGUAGCUCAAUGGUCGAGUGCUUGCCUACCAUGUACAGAGCCUUGGCUCAAUUCCUAGUACCACAA